rnacentral:rRNA from 1 species
UGCCAGCCGCCGCGGUAAUACGAAGGGUGCUAGCGUUGUUCGGAAUUACUGGGCGUAAAGAGCAUGUAGGCGGAUGAAUUAGUCAGAGGUGAAAGCCCCGAGCUCAACUUGGGAACUGCCUUUGAUACUGUUUACCUUGAGUAUGGUAGGGGAUAGUGGAACUCCUGGUGGAGCGGUGAAAUGCGUUGAUAUCAGGAGGAACGCCGGAGGCGAAAGCGACUAUCUGGGCCAUAACUGACGCUGAUGUGCGAAAGCUAGGGGAGCAAACGGGAUUAGAUA